AUGUUUAAUUAAUAGAAAGACUUUGGUAGUAAACCAUUUCAAUGAAAAAUGGUUGACUCCAAAAUACUUGGAAUCUUUCAAUAGAAUAUGAUCUAAUCAAUUAUUCUUAUAAAAUAUUUUUAAACAUUUUAAACCAAGUAGUUAAAAUAAAAAUUCGUCCCUUAGAUGAGUAGUAGCAUUGGUACGUGCACUUUUGGUUUGGUUUGAUAUUAGUGUGGCUCAAGGGACAAAUCUGUGAGGUCUGUUGGGCCAAUACGUACCACGGACAUUAGAAUACAUAUUUAUUCUCAAAAAAAAUGCGAAAAAGUCGAUCAGUACCUUAAAAAAAAUGUUGCAGAAAACUGUUCUCUCCCUCCAGCUCCUGUAAACAACAAAUUAGAUAAAAAGCAAUGUAAUUCAUCUCCUUAUAUGGAUGCAAAGUACUCUUUGCUGCCCUUGG
rnacentral:lncRNA from 1 species